rnacentral:tRNA from 1 species
UCAGCAUGAUCUUCAACAGAUCGUGCAGCGGCGCCGACUGGGUUUGCGCAAUCACCGUGCCGGUGAUGCCAGGGCGCGUCUGGCGUUUCAAAUGCCCGUCGAUCUGGAUGCCGGCCUGCGUCAGCUCGUCUUUCAGGAUGGCGCCCGCAUAGCUGGCACCGUCCUGGAUCGCGAAGGCCAACGGCAGCGGUUCGCUGCGCUGCGUCAGGCAGCCGGUCAGGGUAAAGCGGUUCAGCUCGCCCGGCACCACGUCCAGUUCGCAGUACUGCGCGUCAGCGGAGCCGCGCGCCAGGGUGCGCACCUGGCUAAACAUAUUGACCGGAUAAUAGGAGGCAACGCGAAUAAACGCUAUGUCACCCGGGUUCGGCGCGCUAUAGAGCGAGACCGAGAAACAGUUGCGAUCGACGAUGGCGGCGGCCGGCGGCGCGCUGAAGCACUGCGUCAGAUCGUUCCACGGCCAGCCGGGCG